rnacentral:rRNA from 1 species
UUAAGUGAAUAAGGGCGUACGGUGGAUGCCUAGGCACUUGGAACUGAAGAAGGACGCAACAAACGGCGAAACGCGACGGGGAGUGGUACGUACACAAAGAUCCGUCGAUAUCCGAAUGGGGAAACCCGGCAGCAGUAAUGAGCUGUCACCCAUGAGUGAAUACAUAGCUCAUGAGGGAGGUACCCGGAGAACUGAAACAUCUAAGUAUCCGGAGGAAAAGAAAAUAAGAAUGAUUCCGUAAGUAGCGGCGAGCGAACGCGGAGGAGCCCAAACCAGAUCUUGAUCUGGGGUUGUAGGACCACGAAAUGGCAAGAGCAUGGCUAAGAGAACGGCAUUGAAAGGCCGACCGGAGAGGGUGCAAGUCCCGUAACUGAAAGUCUAGCGAAGCCUAGUGGUAUCCUGAGUACGGCGAGACACGAGAAAUCUUGUCGGAAGCAGGCGGGACCAUCCGUCAAGGCUAAAUAUACCCAAGUGACCGAUAGUGAACCAGUACCGUGAGGGAAAGGUGAAAAGAACCGCGGGAGCGGAGUGAAAUAGAACCUGAAACCGUAUGCUUACAAGAAGUCAGAGCCCGUUAAAGGGUGAUGGCGUGCCUUUUGUAGAAUGAACCGGCGAGUUACGUUAUCGUGCGAGGUUAAGUAGAAGAUACGGAGCCGAAGCGAAAGCGAGUCUUAAUAGGGCGACAGUACGAUGAUGUAGACCCGAAACCGUGUGAUCUAGCCAUGACCAGGUUGAAGUUCAGGUGAAACUGAAUGGAGGACCGAACCGACCCCCGUUGAAAAGUUGGCGGAUGAGUUGUGGCUAGGGGAGAAAUUCCAAUCGAACACGGAUAUAGCUGGUUCUCCCCGAAAUAGCUUUAGGGCUAGCGUCGAGGCAGAGUCGCAUGGAGGUAGAGCACUGAAUGUACGAUGGCCCCAUCCCGGGGUACUGAGUAUAAUCAAACUCCGAAUGCCAUGAAGACGUACUCGGCAGUCAGACUGUGGGUGAUAAGGUCCAUGGUCAAAAGGGAAACAGCCCAGACCGCCAGUUAAGGUCCCAAAAUGUAUGCUAAGUGGAAAAGGAUGUGGGGAUGCACAGACAACUAGGAGGUUGGCUCAGAAGCAGCCAUCCUUCAAAGAGUGCGUAACAGCUCACUAGUCGAGUGACCCUGCGCCGAAAAUGUACCGGGGCUAAGCAUACUACCGAAGCUGCGGAUUCAACUUUAGAGUUGAGUGGUAGGGGAGCGUUGCAUGCACGUAGAAGCCGUACCGUAAGGAGCGGUGGAGAGCAUGGAAGAGAGAAUGCCGGUGUGAGUAGCGAGAUGUAGGUGAGAAUCCUACACACCGAUAGCCCAAGGAUUCCAGGGGAAGGUUCGUCCGCCCUGGGUAAGUCGGGACCUAACGCGAGGCCGAAAGGCGUAGUGGAUGGAAAACAGGCAGAUAUUCCUGUACCCGCGAUGGAAAUGAAGGAAUGACGGAGAAGGCUAGUGUGAGCCACUGAACGGAUUGUGGUCAAAGCAUAUAGCAGGCUGACAGUGAAAUGCGUCAGCGGGAUGUAAGAUGUGACAGGUAAGGGAACGUCCUUGGACAAGUACUGAAGCACAUGAUGCCAGCUUCCAAGAAAAGUUUCUAGUGAUAAUUCCAUAGCGGCCCGUACCAAAACCGACACAGGUGGGCAAGGAGAGAAUCCUGAGGUGAGCGAGAGAACUGUUGCCAAGGAACUCGGCAAAAUGACUCCGUAAGUUAGCGAUAAGGAGUGCUCUUGUAAAAGAGAGCCGCAGUGAAGAGGCCCAAGCGACUGUUUAACUAAAACACAGCUCUCUGCAAAGUCGCAAGACGAAGUAUAGGGGGUGACGCCUGCCCGGUGCUGGAAGGUUAAGAGGAUUUGUCAUCCGCAAGGAGAAGCAAUGAAUUGAAGCCCCAGUGAACGGCGGCCGUAACUAUAACGGUCCUAAGGUAGCGAAAUUCCUUGUCAGGUAAG